GAGUCCACACUGUAGACUGGAGACUCUGAGAUGGAAGCCGUGGUCUCUGUCAGUCUGAGUGAUCAGAAAAGUGGAUGUGUUGAGAGGAUCAGCCGUGUCCUGAUGAUCCACAGAGGUUCACCACCUGGACCUGGAUCUUAUUUUGUCUUUUUAAUUUAUUCAUUCAUAUAUUCUGAACCCAAAAUGCCUCUGCAGAAUAGUUCAGUUAAU